GUAAACAAUGAAGGUGUAGGUUUGCUUGUGCCUUAAAUAAGGUAUUUCCUUUUCUGUCCUAAAUUUAAUUUAAUAUAUUAAAAUGUUCCCGUCCUAAUAUGAACAAAAAAAUGCUUAUGAAAAUAAAUAGUGUAUUUAUUCAGAGUAUUUACAGUUACAGAGGAUUAUAUAAGUAUAUUUUAAUGCCUGGUGCCUGAUGGGAUGUGAAGGUGGUCUUGCCUUAAUUUGCUGUUAAAUUUGUCCACAGAUCUUUGAACUCCUAGAAAAAUUUAAUUAAGUGUUUAUAUGGGAACUGUAUCUUAAAGUUAAGAAACUGCUGAACUAUUAGUCUAGUUUUGUUCUGAUUUAGCUCUUAAAAUACUAAAGAAGCUGGUUGGAGCCACAAUGAAAAGGAAGGCACAAACUGCAGAGUUCAAGCCUCCCAUGAAGAGAUUUGCCAGGAUAAGCAGACGGAACAGCAGAGAAAACGCUGGCGAAUCUGGCGAAACUGGAGAAAUACAGCCAACAGAUGCAAAGCAAAUUUCAGCCACUGUAGCUUCCAGUAUUCAGUCUGCAGCACCCUUGGGCAACUCUGAAGAACAUCAACCACAAUGCAGCCCACAACUUGACUCAGACCUGAUUGAUUUAAACAUCAAACAUCCUGAGGAUGCAGGAAUGGAAGAGGACACUGGUCCUAAACAUCAGACACCUCAACUUCGCAAAGGUUCCUUGGACGAGACUGGAGAUGACAUGCUUGUGAACAUAGAAGAGAUGUCUGGUGCCAUAGCAGUGCCAGCAAAGGCCUGUGAAGAACCAGAACCAGAAUGCCCAAAGUCUCCACCAAAGAAAAGAUUGAGAAGAAGGAUGGGUAUGUGUGGCCUAGGAGACAGGAAGAGAAGGCUAGUUAAUGAUGGACAACAGUGUAGGCAAUCUCCCACUGAAACAAAGAUGGCGGAAAGUACAGAAGCAACUGGUAAAGAAAGUGGAGAUGUACUGAAAUGUAUUGAUGAUGGUUCUCCCCUCUUGAAAAAUGAAGGAACCACGGAAUCAGUGUUUUUAGAACAAAAUCACAGCAGCCUACAGCAGAUGAUGACAGAGGGAGCAUCGUCAACUGAGCAGGAAAUACAAGAUCUACCAUCAGAAACUGCUUGGAAAAUUGAGGAAUCUGACCUUAAAGAAUGUAGAACAUUCCAUGGUAUGGAUAUGGUUUCUAAGGCUUCAAAGAUAAUUGCUGAUUGCCUUGAUGAUGUAGAAAUGCAAUAUGGCCCCACUGGUCAUGAUACGGAGGAUAGUGGUAUGGCUGAAACAGGACUUCCCGAGGAAGAGUACCAAGUUGGGGAAGAAGCAAACUAUGGCUGUACUGAUCUCACAGAUGAAGAUUCCAACAAAGGCUCCAAGGAAACAGAUGAACACCUUGUUGAAGUUCCUGAAAAACUGUUUUUUGGCUUGCUUGGUGUUACCAGUGUGACUUCUGGCUCUAGUUCUGUUCCUGGUGUUGUUUCUGAUGGUUCCAAAAGUACCCCAGUUGAUGUAGCUGAGAAAAUGAACUACAGUUCUAUUGGUACUCAUGAUGCUACUGAAGACUCCAAGGUAAAAGCAGAGCAACAUCAUGCCUCUACUCAAGAAAUUCACAAAGACUCCACUGAAAAAACUAACAAGGAUUCGACUCAAGAAGCUGAAGAUGUAAGCCACGGCACUGAUACUGUUACUGAAGUUUGUGAAGGUUCAAGAGAACCGAUUGAACACCUAGUUAAUGAGGCAGUGAUCUUUGGGUCUACCAGUGUUACUGCAGUGGGCUCUACAGAACAAAUUGAGCACCCAGUUGAUGAAGCAGUAAUCAAUUGCUCCAACAGUGUUAAUAAAGUUUGUGGAGGUUCUAAAAAUCCAACUGAAUAUGCAGGUGAAGUUGCUGAAGAUGAGAAGAACUAUGGUUCUGCAGCAGUUACCAACGACGAUUGUGAAAGUUCUGUAGAAGUGAAUAAGCUCCCAGUUGCUGAUAGGGGGAUCUAUGGCUCUCCCAGUGAUACUGAAUUUUGUGAAAGCUCUAGAAAACCAACUGAACUCACAGUUCAAGUGACAGAGGAAGUGACCAAUGGUCCUAUUUAUUAUAUUAAAUUCUGUGAAUGUUCAAAAGAAUGGACUGAGCACCCAGUUGAACUGAGUGAAUUGGAGAGCUAUGCUUCUACUGCUGGUACCAAUGAAGUUUCUGAAGAUUCUAAGGAAACUAUUGGGCACCCACCUCAAAUGACUGAAGAAGUGAACUGUGCUUCUACAGCUAUUACCAGUGAUGUUUCUGAGUGUUCUAGAGAACAGAUUGAGAACCCAAAUCAGUUGGCUAAAGAGGAGAGCUGUGGUUCUAAUGGUGUUACCAAUGAAGUAUGUGAAGGAUCUACAGAAUCAACUGAGCUCCCAAUUCAACUGGCUGAAGAAGUGAGCUAUAGUUCUACUGUUGUUACCAAUGAAGUUUCUGAAGGUUCUACAGAACCAGCUGGACACCCAGUCGAAAUGACUGAAGCACUGACAUGUGGCUUCAUUUGUUUUACUGAAGGUUCUACAGAAACGAGUAAGCACAUGGUUGACGUGGCUGAGAAAAAGAGCUUUAGUGCUGUUGGUCUUGGUCUUGCCAACAAAGCUUGUGAAAGCUCUGAUGAACUGAAUGGGCACUCAGUCCACAUGACCAAAGAAGUGAUUUCUACCACCAGUUAUGUUUCUGAAGUUUCUUCAAAACAGACAGAGAACCCAUUUCAUGUGGCUGAGGAAGAGACCUGUGGUUCUAAUGUUACCAAUGAAGCUUCUGAAGGUUCUAAGGGGCUGAUUAAUCACUUAGUUCAAGUGGACAAAAAGGAGAUUUAUGUAUCUGCUGCUUUUACCAAUAAAGCUUCUGAAGAUUACCUUGAACCAGCAGGGUGCACUGUUAAAGUAGGUGAAGAAGAGAGCUAUGGCCGUACUGUCAUUACCAGUGAAGUUCCUCAAGGUUCUACAGAAUGGACUGGGCACCCAGCUCAAGUGGCUGAAAAUGAGAGCUGUGGUUCUAGUGCUAUUCCAAAAGAAGCUUCUGAAGGUUCUAGAGAAUCGACUGAGCAUUUGGUUCAAGUGGAUGUAGAUGAGAGCUGUGGUUCUAACACUGUUACCAAAGAAGCUUCUGAAAGUUCUAGAGAAUCAGCUGAGCAUGCUGUCCAAUUGGCUGAAGAUGAGAGCUAUGGCUCUAACACUGUUCCCAAAGAAGCUUCUGAAGGUUCUAAAAAAUGGACAGGGCAUCCACCUCAAAUGGCUAAAGAGAAGAGCAAUGGUUCUACUGCUAUUACUAAUGAAGUUUCUAGAAGAUUUAGAGAAUCGACCAAGCACUCCAUCAAAUUCGCUGAAUAUGAGAGCUGUGGUUCUAACACUCUUCCCAAAGAAGCUACUGAGGGUUCUAGAGAAUCGAUUGAGCAUUCGGUCCAAGUGGAUGUAGAUGAGAGCUGUGGUUCUAAUACUGUUCCCAAAGAAGCUUCUGAAGGUUCUACAGAAUGGACUGGGCACCCAGCUCUAGUGGCUGAAGAUGAGAAAUAUGGUUCUACUGCUGUUGCCAACAAAGCUUUUGUAGGUUCUCUUGAAUUGACUGGGCACCCAGCUCAAGGGGUUGAAGAUGAGAGCUAUGGUUCUAUUGCUAUUACUGAUGAAGUUUCUAGAAGAUUUAGAGAAUCGACUAAGCACUCCAUUAAAUUGGCUAAAGAUGAGAUUGGUGAUUCUAACACUGUUCUCAAAGAAACUUCUGAAGGUUCAAAAGAAUUAACGCAGCACUCUGUCCAAGUGGUUAAAGAUGAGAUCUGUGGUUCUAACACUGUUCCCAAAGAAGCUUCUGAGGGUUUUAAAGAACUAACUGAUCAAUCUGUCCUGUUGGCUAAAGAGGAUAGCUAUGGUUCUACAGCUAUUGCCAGCAAAGCUUUUGUAGGUUCUCUUGAACUGAUUGGGCACCCAUCUCAAGUGACUGAAGAAGAGAGCUAUGGUUCUACUGCUAUUGCUAAUAAGGUGCAUGAAGGUUCUUAUAAAGUCAGUAUGGAAGUCCAAGAAGCUUUAACAGCUUUGGAAGACAGUGACAUGGAGCUAGACAGAAACCCAAGAAGACUUCAGCUAAACAUUCAGACUAACUUGGAAGUUGGAAUGUGCAUGGAGCACUCAGACUAUGGGCUGACUGCCUCCACUGAGGCAGCGUUUUCAGAACUAUGUGAGACAGGAAGUCAAUUUGAACACAUGGAGUUAACUCAGAUGUCCAAUACAGCUGCAGAAGUGAGAUCUACAGACCCUGAUGGAAAACGAAGCAGCAGCACAGAGGGGCUGAUGGGGCACAAAGCACCACCUACUGACCAAGAGGAGUUAACGAAUGACCUUCCGGUGACCUCUGCUAUUGCCAAGCUGCAACCAAUCUGCAACCGUAACCUGAAUCUGGCUUUUACUGAGUUUUCUCAGGACCACAACAAUAUUCCCUCGUCUCUUUGCUCUGUGACAGACUCCCAGCUCAACAGCAUCACGUUAGGCAUGGAGCUGGAAGACCAAACAACUCUGGAAGGCUUUGUCCACCAGGAAGAUGCCACAGAGUUGGUCUGUGGCCUCAUCAAAGAGCUCUCAUCACUAAACUGCAUAGUAAUGGCCGCCCACAAGGAGAUGGAAGUACUGCGUCGAGGAAACAGGCCUCCAAAAGCUCCCAUUCGCCGCAGCUUCAGCCUUCGCAAUUCUGAGAUCUAACCAUCACACCAGAGCACUUUGAAGGUGGCUAGAAGCAUUCUGGGUAAUGUAGGGUCUCAGAUACAUGUAAUAGACUCUUUGACGAUACACUAACACUGACAGGUACCAAACGAAUCAGUUCAGUUCAGAAGAGAUUUUAUCAGUUAGGACUGAGCUUUUACCACAAAAGCAGUACUUUGCCAUCUUAACAUUGGGUUUGUUUGCAUGUCUGUGUUUUAGAUGUUCACUUACAUUUAAUUUUAUGACUCCAGCCAUAAUUCAAUUUCCUUUAAGUGAAACAGAUUCCCCUCAGAUUCCAUUUAAGGGUUAAUCUACAGUUACAGUAGAUACAGAAUCACCAGCACUGUAAUCUGUUGUACCCACACUUAUUCUUACUAUUCUUUUUCUUCUUCUAUUGUUUAAUGGGCGAUGAUAGAAAACAUCCUGUAAUUUUUUCUGAAAGUCUGGAACAUCUAAAAAAUAUUUUUUUUACAGUUGAUCUGGACAAAGAUCACCGCUCAUUUUAAGAAUAGUUAAAAGUGAAAGCACCCUUAUAUACAGUUUGAUAAGUAUGCUAGGAAAGAUUGUUUUACUAUAUUUGGUUAAUUCUCUAUUAACUCAUAUUUCUUAAGAUGUGUAAUUGUUGCAUUUUUUAGUUUAAGACCUGUUAUAGCACUUAUCUGUUAUUUUGAUGCACAUACCUGGUGUUUAAAACCAAAAACUGAUUAAUGCAAAUUCCUUACAUUCUAAUAACCAUCCAUAGGUUUACUUAGACUUUAUGCUCUAUGUAGACAUGUUCUAUCAUUCAUUCAUUAAUUCAUUCAGUCCACCUUAAAUCCUUUGUUUUAACUGUCAGAGAUCAGUUCUGUCCUACUGUUUUUGGUCCAUCUCUACUUAUAACUUUUGAUUUCUUUUAAGGUGGACCUUUUCUAUAUCGUCAAAGACAAUAAAUGUUGAUAGAUGCAGAAUAAAGACA
rnacentral:lncRNA from 1 species